rnacentral:rRNA from 1 species
UACGUAGGGUGCAAGCGUUUAAUCGGAAUACUGGGCGUAAAGCGUGCGCAGGCGGUUUUGUAAGUCUGUCGUGAAAGCCCCCGGGCUCAACCUGGGAAUUGCGAUGGAGACUGCAAGGCUUGAAUCUGGCAGAGGGGGGUAGAAUUCCACGUGUAGCAGUGAAAUGCGUAGAGAUGUGGAGGAACACCGAUGGCGAAGGCAGCCCCCUGGGUCAAGAUUGACGCUCAUGCACGAAAGCGUGGGGAGCAAACAGG